UCCCUCAGAAAGUUAAUGGGACCUAUCAGCAACAUCAGAGGAAAAAGUUUCCAUGAGGUGAGGAUAAAGGAUACCCACUAACUUGAAGUGAAAGUCUGUAGAAGCACAGGUGCACUUCUCAAAUUCUUUCCGUGGGGGCUGAAUGUAAUCAGCCCCAGAAACAAGCACAGGUUCUGGGUCUCCCUGGGUCAUUCCUAAAGUAUAUACUUUCCUCCGAGUUUUCUUUAGCUUGUUCUAUUGCAGUGUUAAAUCUCAGAAAAUGGGAUAUAAAUUGGCCGUCUUGACAUUAUUUGCUGACAAAUGAACAUUUCACUCAUUUGGAAAAAAAUUAAAGUCGCUAAUAUGAAAACAGGAAGUAAUUUAUGAGAAAUGAAUACUUUCUUCUUAAGCUGCUGAGAAAAAUAUCAAAACAUGAAUAAGUUAUAAUAAGAUAGAGAACCACAUACCAAAAUGAAUAGCCACCACGUCUCAGUGAUACAGAAGUAUGUGAAAGAAAUAGGUCACCAGACAUGAAACUCCCUGUGGAAAGGAUAUCGUGGAAGAACAGACAACUGACUGUCCUUAAACGAUCAGGUGGGAGAGAAAGAGUCAAUAAAGAAAAUGGAGCACCAUGAACACAGGGUUGCCAAUGAAAUUUUAAAUGUGUGGUGAUAGUGAGACAUACUGUACAGUGUUGGGAAUCCAUGAUAGGAAGUAAGGAGGAAUAUGGGGACAUAUAUACGGGGUAACAUAACGGGGUAACAUUAAGGAAAGCUUGCAUUCAGCGAAAGCACGGAACACAUGCAGGUGAUUGAGAAGCACUGAAUGGUUUCACAGGGAAAGAGAUGAUCAUAACAUUUGCUAUCAGGUUAGUCUUCCUUAGACCAAAAUGAUCAUUUUAGUUUAAGAAGGCUAACCUGGUAGCAAAAUCAGAGAGAGAGAAAAUAGGUAAACCUAGGAACAGAGCAACCAAUUAAGGGGUCAAUGCUGUGAAAAUAAAGGGCAGAAAAAGGACAACUGCCAUGAACAUAUGAAGCAAAUCCAGAAACUAGAGAUGUUCAGAGAGAAGAAAGGGGAAGACAUGGUGAUAUUAGAUAUAAAGGAUGUGACAGAGUGCAAUAGGAAAAGAAAACUAUCUAGGCUUAUUAGUGAUUUCUGGUUUAUAAAUACACACAAAUUUAGACAUACACACUGGCCAGGUAAUGCCGAAGCACUGUAUGCAUUUCUAAGCCUUUCAUUUUAAUAAGGACAAUGUUGAGUUAAAAUAUUUCAGAAUUGGAGGAAACUGGAAAAAAAUUCCAAGUGUUAUGGGCUGAAUUAUGUUCCCCCAAAUUCAAAUGUCCAAGCCUUAAUCCCCAGUAUUUCAAACGUGAACAUAUUUGAAGAUAGUGUUUUUAAAAAGGUAAUUAAGUUAAAAUAAAGCCCAUAGGGUGGGUAUUAUUCCAGUCUCACUGGUGGGUGUUUUCACAAGAAGAGGAAAGUUGGACAUGCAGAGAAAUCAGGGGUGCACACACAGAGGAAACACCAUGUUAAGGAUGCAACAAGAAGGCAGCCAUUUGCAAGCCAAGAAGAAACCAAUUGUGCUGACGCCUUUGUCUUGGAUCUCUAGAUUCCAGAACUGUGAGAAAAUACAUUUCUGUGGUUUACGCUACCCAGUCUGUGGUAUUUUGUUAUGGUAGCCCCAGCAAACUAAUUCAGCGGAAAAACAGAAAAUACUAAUGUAAUAACAGUCAUAGACAUUAGGCAGCUUGAGGUUAAACCAAUGGCUUUUGGCUAAUUUCUGCCAAGUUUUUAUAGGUAAUAUAAAACAGUACCAGAAAGAUGAUACAUAUUAUUAUUACUUUAGCAUCUGUGAGAUGAAAAACUGGGCCAUAAAGACAGCGGGAUGCACUGUGUAGUCAGUACUACUUGCUUUAAGUCUGAAUUAGGCAUGGUGCAGAGAUGAAGCUUGUAUAUUUCCCAGAACAAAAAGAUCCCUGCUGUUUCAGUAAUUUUUAUUAAAAAAAAAACU